rnacentral:lncRNA from 1 species
CUCUGAUCUCGUUACGAAGCCCUUCUUCAAAAUAACUAGCUUGAUCUUUCUCAAACUUCACCAAGUCUGGCACAUAUGACAUCAGCUUGUUAAAACAAGUCUCGUACUCUUCUAUGGUCAAAUUUUCUUGUUAUAAACUUAGAAAUUCUCUCUUCUUCUCUUUCUAAUGAAAGUAUGUGUAGUAUUGACCGUCGAAUUCUUAUAAGAAGUCUGUCCAAGUCAACAGAGUAAUGGAACGUGAUUUUACUAAGCUCCACCAUGUACCAGCCUGUGAAACCUUGACCUUUAUAGACUUGUAAAGGGAAAUAUACGCG